GAUUGAACGUGCUUGCACGGACUUGACGUUGGUUUACCAGCGAGUGGCGGACGGGUGAGUAACACGUAGGUAACCUGCCCCAAAGCGGGGGAUAACAUUUGGAAACAGAUGCUAAUACCGCAUAAUAAUUUGAAUCGCAUGAUUCAAAUUUAAAAGAUGGCUUCGGCUAUCACUUUGGGAUGGACCUGCGGCGCAUUAGCUUGUUGGUAGGGUAACGGCCUACCAAGGCUGUGAUGCGUAGCCGAGUUGAGAGACUGAUCGGCCACAAUGGAACUGAGACACGGUCCAUACUCCUACGGGAGGCAGCAGUAGGGAAUCUUCCACAAUGGGCGCAAGCCUGAUGGAGCAACACCGCGUGAGUGAAGAAGGGUUUCGGCUCGUAAAGCUCUGUUGUUAGAGAAGAACGUGCGUGAGAGCAACUGUUCACGCAGUGACGGUAUCUAACCAGAAAGUCACGGCUAACUACGUGCCAGCAGCCGCGGUAAUACGUAGGUGGCAAGCGUUAUCCGGAUUUAUUGGGCGUAAAGCGAGCGCAGGCGGUUUGAUAAGUCUGAUGUGAAAGCCUUUGGCUUAACCAAAGAAGUGCAUCGGAAACUGUCAGACUUGAGUGCAGAAGAGGAUAGUGGAACUCCAUGUGUAGCGGUGGAAUGCGUAGAUAUAUGGAAGAACACCAGUGGCGAAGGCGGCUGUCUGG
rnacentral:rRNA from 1 species